GACUCUGCAUGCAGUCAAUCACACACAGCUUGGAUCUGCACAUUCUCAACGGAGAAGGAGAUGUUUGCAGAUCAGUAGUGCAGACGGAUGGUGCCAGAGCAGAUGCUAGUGCAGAGAUAGGGCUUACCUUCCCUCACAUAGCCAAAAAGCUUGAAGCACAGAACUGCUGAAUAAAUUGUAGGAGCUACAGAUAAGCUUGUGGGGAACCUCCAUGGAUCUGCACACCAAAACUCCAUGACUCCAUCCAGGAACCACAUUAUUGCUACGCCAACUGUGCCUUCAGCUGAGUGGUGGAUGAUCUUCAUCCCAACAAAAGGUGCUUGUGGGGCAUGGACAAAACUUUACCUGAUUGUCUGGAGCCAGCACAGAAAGGCAUAACUUUGGGCUUCUUAAGAUCUACAGAUAGGAACCUCCUGGCAGUGUGUGCAGAAACGAUCAGGCCCGCAAGGACAACACGGGACGAAUCAAUCAUACAAGAUGGAUGAGGCCACUGGGUGAUGCUUGGGUGAAAACCGCUUCCAGAUUUCACACCAGCUUCACUUUUGUGCCCCGGCUGAAAACACAGCUUUAUUGCAUGACCAUAAGUAACGCAGGAAGGCACUCACCACUCAGUUUUGUGCAGCUUUUGUUUGUGAUAGUUUUAAUUUACUGCUGAAGUGAAUCCGAGACUGAUAAUUUUAUGAUUUUUUACCGAGAAAAGACAUUAAGCUACUUACUUUGGCUGCACUUCCUACUCUGCAGAAAUUAUUUAUCCAAGCGCAGCGGCAAAGUGGGUCAGGGGAGGAAUAAUAAUAAUAAUAAUAAUAAAAAGAAACUGCCCACAAAAAUCUUGAAUCCCUUGCAGAAGUUGGAUUAAGGCUCAAGAUACUGGAUGCAAACCGCUGCCACGUUCUCCAUUUCAAAGGAAAGGUGUCAGCUCAGGCAGCGAUGUAAAAGGCUGCAAAGUUUGGGCUGCAAAAUCCCCUUCCCACCGUUUGCCAUGCUGGUCACAAAGGAACAAAGAGCUGGAUUUGGUUCUGCAAGCUGCUCUGCCUUUUCCUCAAGGGAUAUAAACCCCAAGGA